AAAACAUGAGAUAAGACAAUUAUGAUCAAUGUAUAAGCUAACAGUUCUAAGAUGCGAGGUGAUCGACUUCUACUUAAAAACUUUAGCCAUGCUCUGUUAUGAUCCAAACCCACACCUCAGUCCCUUUAAGGUGGUUCCAAUUUGAAUAACAGGAGACUCUCAAUGAAAAAGGACGGAGCUUUAGAAGAAUGCUAAAGGUAAGUGCCAACCUAUGCAUACAAGAAUAUCACCCCAUCAACCCAAUGACAUAAAUCGUGAAUAACAAGUAGAUGGUCCUAUCUCUAAACUCAAUGAUGAUCCUAAGUCUACCCUUUUGCACUAAAGGCAUACUUCGAUUCUUUCUUUGAUCAACUUAUUUCUUUUCAUUUCUUUCGCUCUUGUUCUUAUGGUGAGUCUUUUCUUAAACUCUAUGAGUCUAGUCUAGUGAAUUUGGUUUUUCUUAAACUCUCAUGGCUCUUAUGAUUUUUUUUCUUUUUUUCUGUUUUUGUUGCCAUAUUUUUUUCUAGAGUAUAUCUUAUCAAUUCUAUGCUUCCCAAACAUUUACUAGACCUCAAUAUGAUUUUCAGCUUCCUU
rnacentral:sRNA from 1 species